GUUCAUUCCAGCAAUACACAUACUAAAAUUGGAACAAUACAAAGAUUGACAUAGGCCCUAUACAAGUAUGACACAUAAAUUUGUGGAGUACUACAUAGUUUU